UGCCCUUAUUUCUCUUUGUAAUGUAGUAGGGUAGAAACCGCAUUAUCUAUUUUUCAUGUUCGCGAAUUGACCCCAAACUAUAUUGUCUUUGUUUGAACAUAAUUUACCAAUUUUGCAGUUGAGGACACUCAGAAACACACUUCACAGUUACAUGGCGCGGUCUUCUUCUGUUUUUCGCUACCCAACUCAAUUCAAAGGCGGAGGACCCAGCAAGCAAGCAACCCCUUCUUCACCAUCAUCACCAGUACUAGCAACAUUAUUGGCAAGGCGAAAUUGAAAGGCAUGCUUCUUCAGCCGAAAUUGAAUCAUUGUCUUAACGGAAUCGGUUUUUUAUCGGGUUUUGGCGGAGGAUUUCAAGCACUCUGCUUUCGUCCACAUCUGGAUUCGCAUUCUACUGAUACAUGUCGACGGCGAAUGGAACUGCUCCUUUUUUGGAGAUCGGAAGACAGAUACGGAGGGGGUUUGGGAGGCUGCAAUCAGAUAGGAUCAGAAACUCUGUUAAACCAACUUAAGAAAUAAAUUAUUUACGUUUGUUCUUUAGUGCAAGCAAUCUGCAAGAAGGUAUGGAAGGGAAAUCCUACUGCUACCACCAUGAAAAAUGUUUCAAGAGGUCUUGCUGCUCUUACUGUUCCAUUUACCAUGAGCUUUCCAAAAAGGUAGUUUUGCUAAGUCUUAUUGGCUUCUGCUAUUUAUGUUUAUUCUAUUCUCUGUGAACUUCUCUCCAGUCAUUUCUCUAAUAGAUGGCAUGCGCACUUUGAAGCCAAUGCCUUAGGAUGGCACCUCCCCCUCUUUAAUAUCAGGGCGGAGACAAAGAUGUCAAUUUGAGGAUAAAUAUUUCUCUAUCCCCGUUCAUUGCCCCAUACUCUCUCUCUUCUAUUUUGACAAGUGACAUGAGGAGAGAGAUGAAGAGAGGGAGGCAAUGAAAUAAGAAUGGAAGUUUUUCUCAAAGUUGAGGGGAGGUCUACAUUGAGCCCGGGCUCGGCACCUCUAUCUCCAAAGUUAUUAGCUACAACGUUCGCUGGAUGCUUCACCCUGCUACAACAAUACAACCACCACUGGUUAUGAGAUGAGAUACCCCUGACGUCAAUUUGAAAAGUAACAUCUGCAUCACUUUCCGAUAAUUGGAAGCUGCAUUGUUCAAUGUUGGGAUAAACAGGCUGUUGUAGAACUUUUUUUUAUCUGUUAAUUUAUAUAUAAAUUUAC